rnacentral:rRNA from 1 species
UGGGGAAUAUUGCACAAUGGGGGAAACCCUGAUGCAGCGACGCCGCGUGAACGAAGAAGGUAUUCGUAUCGUAAAGUUCUGUCCUAUGGGAAGAUAAUGACAGUACCAUAGAAGAAAGCUCCGGCUAAAUACGUGCCAGCAGCCGCGGUAAUACGUAUGGAGCGAGCGUUGUCCGGAAUUAUUGGGCGUAAAGGGUACGCAGGCGGUUUAAUAAGUCGAAUGUUAAAGAUCGGGGCUCAACCCCGCAAAGCAUUGGAAACUGAUAAACUUGAGUAGUGGAGAGGAAAGUGGAAUUCCUAGUGUAGUGGUGAAAUACGUAGAUAUUAGGAGGAAUACCAGUAGCGAAGGCGACUUUCUGGACACAAACUGACGCUGAGGUACGAAAGCGUGGGGAGCAGACAGG